rnacentral:rRNA from 1 species
UUGUGGUCGGAGCGGCAAUGAACCUGGGAGUCAGUUGGAUUGUCCGCAGGGGCAUCCAUAGAUGGUGGUUCGGCUACGUGAUGUGUUGGAUAGACAUAUGCCUCGUAGGAAUGGCCGUUGCCUCCAUUGGCCCGGGCGGUACCAUCAUUGGCUUCCUUUUCGUGGCUAUGCCUUGUUCCUUGUGGCCGGGUAGGACUCUCGGAAUAUUCGCGGCAUUCACCUCCUCGAUUGCCUACGUUCUCUCCGCUUACCUACACCCAAUGAUCGCGGGCGAGUACACCGGCAUCAGAUCGAUGUCACCUUCGGUACUCUUGUUGGAGGUGUUCCUCUUUCUUGCCGUUGCGCUGGCCUUACAGGCAGCGCCGAACGACAUUCUCAAGAGAAUCCGCAGCACGAGGUUGUUGG